rnacentral:rRNA from 1 species
AUUGAACGCUAGCGGGAUGCCUUACACAUGCAAGUCGAACGGAGUGGCGAACGGGGGAGUAAUGUAUGGGAACGUGCCCAGUGGCGGGGGAUCACUACGCGAAAGAGUAGCUAAUGCCGCAUACGAUUGAGGCGGCCGAUAGCGGAUUAGCUAGUUGGUGGGGUAACGGCUCACCAAGGCGGCGAUCCAUAGCUGGUUUGAGAGGACGACCAGCCACACUGGGACUGAGACACGGCCCAGACUCCUACGGGAGGCAGCAGUGGGGAAUCUUGGACAAUGGGGGAAAGCCUGAUCCAGCCAUGCCGCGUGUGUGAUGAAGGCUUUCGGGUUGUAAAGCACUUUUGGUAGGAAAGCGGUACCUGCAGAAUAAGCACCGGCUAACUACGUGCCAGCAGCCGCGGUAAUAC